CGCAACCCUUGUGUUUAGUUGCCAACAGGUAAUGCUGUGCACUCUAAACAGACUGCCGUGGAUAACACGGAGGAAGGUGGGGAUGACGUCAAAUCAUCAUGCCCUUAUGAUCUGGGCUACACACGUGCUACAAUGGUCGGUACAACGGGCAGCGAAAGAGUAAUCUGGAGCGAAUCCUAAAAAGCCGAUCCCAGUUCGGAUUGUGGGCUGAAACUCGCCCACAUGAAGUUGGAGUUGCUAGUAAUCGCGAAUCAGAAUGUCGCGGUGAAUGCGUUCCCGGGUCUU
rnacentral:rRNA from 1 species